UCAAGAAUUAAUGCUUCCAAAGUAGUACCUUCAAGCUUACACUCUCUGCUCUGUGUAUUUAAAAGUUUAAGCUCACACAUACACAAAGCUAUCAGCAUACCACAAAGGCACUGCUAUUAUUUCACAAUGACGCCCUGAAGGAGCUUUCUUGAAAAUGGGUUCACCGGACUUCCCUCUACUUCAACAUCAUCUAGGCACUCAGUUCUGCAGAAAGCUCCUUCUUUAAUUGCUGAUGGGUUUCAAUUUGUAGGAGGAGCAUCUUUGGUUUGGGCGCUCCUGUCAUCACCGGGAAUACAGCUGUUGGAGGCCUUUACUUAGGCUAUGACCCGGCUGAGCCUACAUUCUAUGAUGACCGGGACCUCAUCUACUCCAUUGGGAAACCUGUAAAAGACUGGGAUAGGAAGCGCAGAGAAUGGUUGGAGCAUCACCCUUCGUUUGCUGCUGGCGUAGGUGAUCAGAUUCUUCUUGAACUGGGUCUCAGCCCUCCACGUGUAGCAACCCCGUUGAUGAUCAUUUGCAGCUAAAGUGUUCCAAAAACAAUGUAGACUAUUGCAGAUUCAACGGCUAUGCCAUCUUUUACAACAACGUGUUGUUGCGUCCAAAUGACUGGCACCUGGGCCAAAUACCCAAUUCUCCGUGCUGCCAUGUUGGCGGAUCAUGAGGCGGAGUGGAUCUGGUGGGUCGACUCACAUGCAAUCUUCACAGACAUGGAGUUCAAGCUCCUACUAGAGAGAUAUAAAGACCAUAACCUAGUUGUGCAUGGCUGGUGGCAUCUGAUAUACAAAGAGCAAAGCUGGACAUGUCUCAAUGUGGGGGUGUUCCUGAUACACAACUGCCAGUGGUCUAUGAACCUCACAGAGGCAUGGACCAGCAUGGGCCAUGAUCGGCCACAGAGCCCAGAUUAUGGAAGAUGAGACCGAAUCCAAAAGUCAAUGUUCAAAGACAAGUUAUUUCCGCAGUCAGACGAUCAAUUGGCUCCAAUUUAUCUUCUAAUAGAAUAGAAAGAAAAGCGGGCAGACAAGACUUAUUUACAGAAUGAGUACAGCCUCCGUGGGUACUGGUUGGGAAUAGUGGAUGGUCUUGACAAUAUCACCAAAAGGUAUAUGGAGAUCGAUAGAGAGGUGGUAAUGUUGAGGAGGAGACAUGCAGAGAAGGUGAGCUUGUUCUAUGGAACGAUCAGAGAGCAAUAUCUGAAGAAUAAGGGCUAUUGGAAGGAUAAACUCAGAAGGCCUUUUGUCACGCACUUCACCGGGUGUGCCUUGGCAGCAGGGAACACAACCCUGCUUACACUUGGGAAGCUUGUUGGAAGGGGAUGCAGAAGGCUUUGAACUAUGCAGAUAGUGAAGUUCGUAGCAGAUUUGGCUUUGUGCAUCCCGACCUGCUCAAAUUGUCAUUGGUGACCUGCCAUUUGAUUCCCCAGCUUGAGUGACUGUUCAUCUGU